rnacentral:rRNA from 1 species
AUGAACGCUAGCUAUAGGCUUAACACAUGCAAGUCGAGGGGCAGCAUGGUCUUAGCUUGCUAAGGCCGAUGGCGACCGGCGCACGGGUGAGUAACACGUAUCCAACCUGCCGUCUACUCUUGGACAGCCUUCUGAAAGGAAGAUUAAUACAAGAUGGCAUCAUGAGUCCGCAUGUUCACAUGAUUAAAGGUAUUCCGGUAGACGAUGGGGAUGCGUUCCAUUAGAUAGUAGGCGGGGUAACGGCCCACCUAGUCUUCGAUGGAUAGGGGUUCUGAGAGGAAGGUCCCCCACAUUGGAACUGAGACACGGUCCAAACUCCUACGGGAGGCAGCAGUGAGGAAUAUUGGUCAAUGGGCGAGAGCCUGAACCAGCCAAGUAGCGUGAAGGAUGACUGCCCUAUGGGUUGUAAACUUCUUUUAUAAAGGAAUAAAGUCGGGUAUGGAUACCCGUUUGCAUGUACUUUAUGAAUAAGGAUCGGCUAACUCCGUGCCAGCAGCCGCGGUAAUACGGAGGAUCCGAGCGUUAUCCGGAUUUAUUGGGUUUAAAGGGAGCGUAGAUGGAUAUUUAAGUCAGUUGUGAAAGUUUGCGGCUCAACCGUAAAAUUGCAGUUGAUACUGGAUAUCUUGAGUGCAGUUGAGGCAGGCGGAAUUCGUGGUGUAGCGGUGAAAUGCUUAGAUAUCACGAAGAACUCCGAUUGCGAAGGCAGCCUGCUAAGCUGCAACUGACAUUGAGGCUCGAAAGUGUGGGUAUCAAACAGGAUUAGAUACCCUGGUAGUCCACACGGUAAACGAUGAAUACUCGCUGUUUGCGAUAUACUGCAAGCGGCCAAGCGAAAGCGUUAAGUAUUCCACCUGGGGAGUACGCCGGCAACGGUGAAACUCAAAGGAAUUGACGGGGGCCCGCACAAGCGGAGGAACAUGUGGUUUAAUUCGAUGAUACGCGAGGAACCUUACCCGGGCUUAAAUUGCAGAUGAAUUACGGUGAAAGCCGUAAGCCGCAAGGCAUCUGUGAAGGUGCUGCAUGGUUGUCGUCAGCUCGUGCCGUGAGGUGUCGGCUUAAGUGCCAUAACGAGCGCAACCCUUGUUGUCAGUUACUAACAGGUUCCGCUGAGGACUCUGACAAGACUGCCAUCGUAAGAUGUGAGGAAGGUGGGGAUGACGUCAAAUCAGCACGGCCCUUACGUCCGGGGCUACACACGUGUUACAAUGGGGGGUACAGAGGGCCGCUACCACGCGAGUGGAUGCCAAUCCCCAAAACCUCUCUCAGUUCGGACUGGAGUCUGCAACCCGACUCCACGAAGCUGGAUUCGCUAGUAAUCGCGCAUCAGCCACGGCGCGGUGAAUACGUUCCCGGGCCUUGUACACACCGCCCGUCAAGCCAUGGGAGCCGGGGGUACCUGAAGUGCGUAACCGCGAGGAGCGCCCUAGGGUAAAACUGGUGACUGGGGCU